rnacentral:rRNA from 1 species
UUAAAACGUUAAAACCCGCUAGUUGGUUUUUAAAGUUUAAAAAGAUGGUCUUGCUAUCACUAAGAGAUGGUCCCGCGGUGUAUUAGUUAGUUGGUGAGGUAAUGGCUCAUCAAGACAAUGAUACAUAGCCGAGUUGAGAGACUGACCGGCCACAAUGGGACUGAGACACGGCCCAUACUCCUACGGGAGGCAGCAGUAGGGAAUCUUCCACAAUGGACAAAGUCUGAUGGAGCAACGCCGCGUGUGUGAUGAAGGGUUUCGGCUCGUAAAACACUGUUGUAAGAGAAGAAUGACAUUGAGAGUAACUGUUCAAUGUGUGACGGUAUCUUACCAGAAAGGAACGGCUAAAUACGUG